UUAGAAUGAAAUAGGGAAUGCAGGUAUACUAGUGAUGGAAGUUGAAGGUUGUACAGAACUGUGGAUUCUCAUCAUGGAGUGUAAAAGGUUGAAGAUCGAGUCAAGAGAUGGAUUGUACAUGUGGGUGCAUGGUCACGUAAUUUAAUAGUAGUAUGUCUGAUUUUUAUAAAUUUAUAGAAAGCAUUAAUGUAUUUAAGGUAAAAGAGUGAAUUAAUGUAUUUCUAAGUAUGUUAGAAUGAAUAUGAUGAAAGAAAAUUUUUAAGUUCGUAUU